rnacentral:snRNA from 1 species
ACACUUAGAUCAGCGUCGGGUGAACCGUGAUCACGAAGGCGGUUGCCCCUGAGUGAGACCUGAUUAGCAUUUAGCAGUAGCGGGUCGACCUCUGCGACUAUUCCCAGUGGGAUAACUCGGGCGCAUAAUUUUUUCCUGGGGUCCUGCGUUCGCUAACCCCCC